rnacentral:rRNA from 1 species
GCACAAGCGGUGGAGCAUGUGGUUUAAUUCGACGCAACGCGAAGAACCUUACCUGGGCUUGACAUGUCCCUGACCGCCGUGGAAACACGGCUUCCCUUCGGGGCAGGGUCACAGGUGGUGCAUGGCUGUCGUCAGCUCGUGUCGUGAGAUGUUGGGUUAAGUCCCGCAACGAGCGCAACCCCCGUCGCAUGUUGCCAGCAUUUAGUUGGGGACUCAUGCGAGACUGCCGGUGACAAACCGGAGGAAGGUGGGGAUGACGUCAAGUCAUCAUGCCCCUUAUGUCCAGGGCUACACACGUGCUACAUUGGCGCGUACAGAGGGCUGCGAUACCGCGAGGUGGAGCGAAUCCCUUAAAGCGCGUCUCGGUUCGGAUUGCAGGCUGAAACUCGCCUGCAUGAAGGCGGAGUUGCUAGUAAUCGCGGAUCAGCACUGCCGCGGUGAAUACGUUCCCGGGC